rnacentral:rRNA from 1 species
AGCGGCGGAUGGGUGAGUAACACGUGGGUAACCUGCCCUAAAGUCUGGGAUACCACUUGGAAACAGGUGCUAAUACCGGAUAACAACAAUAGCUGCAUGGCUAUUGCUUAAAAGGCGGCGAAAGCUGUCGCUAAAGGAUGGACCCGCGGUGCAUUAGCUAGUUGGUAAGGUAAUGGCUUACCAAGGCGACGAUGCAUAGCCGAGUUGAGAGACUGAUCGGCCACAUUGGGACUGAGACACGGCCCAAACUCCUACGGGAGGCAGCAGUAGGGAAUCUUCCACAAUGGGCGAAAGCCUGAUGGAGCAACGCCGCGUGAGUGAAGAAGGUUUUCGGAUCGUAAAGCUCUGUUGUUGGUGAAGAAGGAUAGAGGUAGUAACUGGCCCCUAUUUGACGGUAAUCAACCAGAAAGUCACGGCUAACUACGUGCCAGCAGCCGCGGUAAUACGUAGGUGGCAAGCGUUGUCCGGAUUUAUUGGGCGUAAAGCGAGCGCAGGCGGAAAGAUAAGUCUGAUGUGAAAGCCCCCGGCUUAACCGAGGAAUUGCAUCGGAAACUGUGUUUCUUGAGUGCAGAAGAGGAGAGUGGAACUCCAUGUGUAGCGGUGGAAUGCGUAGAUAUAUGGAAGAACACCAGUGGCGAAGGCGGCUCUCUGGUCUGUAACUGACGCUGAGGCUCGAAAGCAUGGGUAGCGAACAGGGUUAGAUACCCUGGUAGUCCAUGCCGUAAACGAUGAGUGCUA